rnacentral:rRNA from 1 species
UACGGAGGGUGCAAGCGUUGUCCGGAUUUAUUGGGUUUAAAGGGUGCGUAGGCGGCCCUCUAAGUCAGUGGUGAAAUACUGCAGCUUAACUGUAGCAUUGCCAUUGAUACUGGGGGGCUUGAGUACAGAUGAGGUAGGCGGAAUUUAUGGUGUAGCGGUGAAAUGCAUAGAUACCAUAAAGAACACCUAUUGCGAAGGCAGCUUACUAAGCUGUAACUGACGCUGAGGCACGAAAGCGUGGGGAGCGAACAGG